ensembl:lncRNA
GCCAGAUGAAAAAGGCAGGAGGCGAGCCCCUCCGGUUGCGCGUCAGCACCCCCUCAAAUAGGAAUCCGCUUCUGUCACUUCUGCGCUGCCCGCUGAGAGACGGACCGCAGCAUCCCCUGAAACAGCAAUUACAGGUGAAAUUCAUUUGGCAUGCAGUGUAUUUUUUAUUUUUUACAUGUGAUGCCAAAGACGAAGAGUAAGGGAAGGCUGUGAGGAGGCUGGAGCGUUGCGAAGAAUGAUAGUGAGGAUCAAGGCGCGCUGUCCCAGGAGAACUCAUCUGAAGAGCUGGCCGUGAGAGACCGGGAUGCUCCUCUAACACGCCGGGGACGGGUUUUCCUGAGCAGACUGUCUGAGCGGCAGAGUUUGAGCUUGAGUGAAAGUGAGGGAGUGAGCUAGUCUGAGUGGGUGUCAUGGAAGACCGUGAAGAAAAAAAUCCAGAGGACUCUUACAAAAACCUGCUGCUCUUGGGAGCCAUCGCAGCAGCGUCUGCCUUUGUGGUCACCAUCCUCAUAGUCCUUGUCUGUGUUGGCUGCCAAAGAAAAAGCAAGAGCAAGCACCCCCCAGCUGGAGAGAAAGGGACAUCUGUAAAUAUGGUAAGACAUGCUUCAUUUUACUCUCUUUCUCUUACGUCCCUCCCUCCCUGUCUCCACCUAUUACUUCUCUUGUUCGUAGCCAUUUGUCUGCACAGAAGAAGCUGCAUAUGUUUGGAUGUUUUGUGCCUGCAUUGACAAGUUCAUAUAUGUGUGACAGCAGGGUACACUUCGACAUCCGAAACUCAACUCCAUGAGUAAAUCUGACACCAGG